rnacentral:misc_RNA from 1 species
AAAUAAAAAUCGGUGUUGUUGCUACCCGUAGUGGUGUGGUUAAUGCAUCGGAAUUGAGUUGUCUUUACCUUUUUUGGUUAAGUGACUUAAAAUUAUGUACGAUUUUUGAACGUAUUUAAAUUAUUUAUGUAUGUUCAUAAUAAUCAAAUAUUAGGUGCGGUCAUUCUCAUGAUUACGCGUCUAUAAAUUUUCAUU